CACGGAGAGGGUCAGCCCAAACACAAAAGCCGACCGAUUUGAAUGUCAAUGACUGCCACUUGGUGUACGUAAAAACGCCCAUAAUACACCACCCAGUCGACAAUAGAGCAGUGGAAUGCGGCAUCCUGCCUCGCACGACGCAGAGGUUGGUGAUAGUACACGCGAUGAAGGUGGGAGAGGGGGGGCUGGCCACGGCGUGCUGGACCAUCAUUCACUUGUUGAAACCGCAAGAUAGAAGCGGCCCCAAAGCCUCCUUCGGUACACACUUUAUGGGAGGCGCUCAUCCGUGCGAAUUAAAAGGCGGUUCCUGCGACCUGAGUCGGCAUUCGCGAGGUAGAAAUGGAGACCGCCUGACGAUGGUGAACUUCGGAAUGAAUGUGACGACGAUCGUAUCUCCAAACGACCUGCGCUGAUACCAUCACCAACCCGGCUCCACCGCGUGUGAGGCACGGCGGGAGAUCGACCGACCAUGACGGCCUGCUAGCGGCAUGGCAUGCACGGGUAGUGUUCUCACGACAGAACACAGUGAGUUCUGCUGGUACUAUAGUGGCGAGACUUCAAGGGAGGACAGGUUAGACGCACUUGGCUGAACGAACGAGUGUGGAGAAGGCAAGAUGUUGGCAUAGCUGUGUGAUACCAAUUUUUUCAGCUGUGCUCACAUACUGCCAUUUAUGCACUUGAAAGAAUCAACCACGAAGUCUCCCGACUGAUGGCCGCAUCAUCUUACGCUCAAACAUUGAUUCUGGGUUCACGCUUGGUUCAUUUUGAAGUUUGGUUGUGCUCAUUUGCGUGUGUUACGAGCUAUUUAGGAGGUACAACUGUUCUAUAUUAAACAGAAAAUACAAUUUUAUUGUGAGCGGAAGCCCGGGGAACAAUGUUGUUUAUUUGUGAAAUAACAAGUACGUUUGAAGUUCAGUACAAGCCGGCACUUUUCGCUAGGCCUACAAAUGUAUGUUUGAAUAGUUAAUGUAUGUUGGUAUAGCAUAACAGUGGCUAUUUUACUGGUGUAAAUAAUGAAUACAAUAUCCUCUGAAAUAUUUAAAAAAUUGACCCGCUUGCAGACCUAUCCUCCUAUCAAAUGGUUUAACUUGUCCUUGAACUCGUCAAAAGAAAGUCCCAGCUUGAAUUCGAUAUACUCCAGCUUUUUGAGGGCAUUUGCAUGAAAGGACACCGCCCACAACGGAGGUAUUACGUUUGAGUUGUUGUGACAAUGCAUGAACCAAUUCAAUAGCCUCGAAAGAUACUUCCGUGGUCCUUGAAUAAAUGCAUGUGAACAAUGUUCAGGAUUGUCGAUGGCUUCUCAGUAAAAAGACUUUAGCUUGAUUCACUGAACAACUUUCUGAUAUCCCAACUUUGAAAUGUCAUCGAUUUCAUAAAAAAUCAAACCUAUAUGAUUGGGCUUAUUGUCAGCAAUACUGGGAGAACUUCUUUAUGAGCGAAAAGUAUCUACUGAAAGGAUACUUUUAAGCCAUGUGAACUAUGUUUUGAAGACUUAAAGAAAUUUCAAAGACUUCGUGACUUAACAACUAGGGGACUCUAAUCCAUGUAACUUCACGGGUGAAGUACAUGCGUGUUGACCUAAACUAUUAUGACAAGGGCAAUCCAUUGUUAAACAAAA